rnacentral:lncRNA from 1 species
AGGACCACCUUCAUUUAAAAUUAAGGCUUCCAUUGAGCCUAUUGCAGAUCUGCGCUCAUUGUUGAGAAGCAAGAUUUGUGGCGUCUUCUGUGAUAAGAUAGAGAGUGGCGGAUA